GCCUGGCUCACUGUCCUGUGCUGUGCUUGGAGUUUGAUGUCACAGAUUCUCCUAAGAGCCCUCGACUGGAGGUGGGCCACACUAGGAUGGCUUCCAGCACCCAGGGGUGAUCGGGAGUCCCUCUCCAGCUGCUGAUGCUGACAGCACAAGCACUAUUCACAAUAGCCAAGACAUGGAAGCAACCCAAGGGCCCAUCAACCGAUGAUUGGAUAAAGAAGAUGUGGUAUACAUAUGCAAUGGAAUACUACUCAGCCAUAAAAAAGACAAAAUCAUCCCAUUUGCAACAACAUGGUUGGACCUGGAGGGACUUAUGCUAAGUGAAAUAGGCCAGACUGAGAAAGAAAAACACCAGAUGAUUUCACUCAUAUGUGGAAUAUGGACAAACACAUGGACAAAGAAAACAGUGGGUUGCUGCCACAACAUGGCUAAUGAGUGGUGUAGGUCCAUGCCUGGGAGCUGAACCUGUGAACCCAAGCCACUGAAGCAAGGCACGCUGAGCUUAACUGCUACACCAUGGAGCCAGCCCCUAACCCCUGGCUCCCGCCAUGCUGCUUUCUGUCUCUAUCAGUUGGACGACUCUAGGGACCUCCUGUAAGUGACAUCCUACAAUAUUUGUCCUUUUGUGUCUGGCUUACUUCAUUUAGCACAGUGUCCUCCAGGUUCACCCUGUUGCAGUGUGUGUCAGAUUUCCUUCCUUUUUAAGGCUGAAUAACAUCCAUAUUUGUAUACACGCUAUUUGAUUCAUCCACUCAUAUACCCGUGGACACUUGGGAAGUAACGCAGCUUGGGGAGCAGUGAAGUCCUUCAGUGUCU
rnacentral:lncRNA from 1 species